CACAAAUUCAUUGAAGAAUGAAAUGAGAAGAUCUGUCAAGUGUCAAACCUUUUUGAUGUUGUACAUUUCCCUUCCAGAGUUGGAGAAUCACAACAUGGGGUGCGAGAAACUUCAAGGGCGAAAAAAGGAGAAACACGGAGAAGACGCGAGGACCAUGGAGAAGCAUGUCUCUGAAGUGGCUGAUCCUGUGCUCCAGCGGCAGAACCAUCCGAAGAGAUGAUCCAUUUUUUCCUUCACACUCAACAGGAUGGUCCAGUCUUCAAAGGAAUGGAAAUACAACAGCUUUGAUGUACAUUUGGGUGUACUUCAAACAUCUGACUGUUCAAUUUAAAUCAUCUCCAAGAGAGACAGAUUGAGAAAUUCACAUCAAGCUGUGAGUGCAGAUGUUGCCCAACAAAAACCGGAGACUUCCUGUUGAGCUGCGAUUAUUAAGUUUCCAGUAAGUAGGGUCACUCCAGGAGCAGUGAGUGAUGUUACUGCGGUGAUCCGAGAGGGCAGGAUGGGUCCCAGCAAGCCUUCCC